rnacentral:siRNA from 1 species
UGGACCGGUGGCAGUCUUUCC